GUAAACUGUUAAAACAGUUUAUAGCCUGAUCACGUCUGAGCUCGAAAGCUGAGCUGGGUCGGGUCAGGAUACUACUAGAUGGUAGACCAGCGGGGACAACAGGUGCUGUUUGGC
rnacentral:rRNA from 1 species